GAUGAAGAACGCAGCGAAAUGCGAUACGUAAUGUGAAUUGCAGAAUUCAGUGAAUCAUCGAAUCUUUUAACGCAUAUUGCGCUCUCUGGUAUUCCGGAGAGCAUGCUUGUUUGAGUAUCAGUAAACACCUCAACUCCCUUUUCUUUUUUGAAAUUGGAGCUGGACUUGAGUGAUCCCAACGCUUUCUUCCAAGAAAGUGGCGGGUUGCUUGAAAUGCAGGUGCAGCUGAACUUUUCUCUGAGCUAUAAGCAUAUCUAUUUAGUCUGCCUAAAAAACAGAUUAUUACCUUUGCUGCAGCUAACAUAAAGGAGACUAGUUCUUGUGCUGACUGAUGCAGGAUUCACAGAGACAGCUUCGGCUGACUUUGUAAACUCGAUCUCAAAUCAAGUAAGACUACCCGCUGAACUUAAGCAUAUCAAUAAGCGGAGGA
rnacentral:misc_RNA from 1 species